rnacentral:tRNA from 1 species
GGGGUCGUAGCUUAAUUGGUAGAGCACCUGAUUGUCGAUCAGGGUGGUGAGAGUUCAAGCCUCUUCGGUCCCGCCA